rnacentral:sRNA from 1 species
AAAAAUAACAAACAAUUUUUUGGUGUCUAUAAUAACAAGUCUAUUUAAAUAUAUCCAUUCAGACACUUUUUUACUGAUCUAUAUCCAAUCUAUAUACCACGUCCGUAAUAACAGGAGAUUCGAUUAACCGUGGGUUGUAAAGAAACCAGAGUUCCAUGUCCAUAAGGUCUUGAAGGUGGAGGUCUCUGCAAGCUGAAAGAAAAUCAUCAAACAAUUUUUUGGUAUCCAUAAUAACAAGUCCAUUUAAAUAUAUCCAUUCAGAAACAUUUCUACUGAUCCGUAUCCAUUCUAUAUACUAUGUCAAUAAUAACAGGAGAUUCGAUUAACCGUGUUUUGUAAAGAAACCAAAGUUCCAUAUCCAUAAGGUUUUGAAGGUGGAGGUCUCUGCAAACUGAAAAAAAAAAAAACAAAAAUUUGUUGGUGUCCAUAAUAACGAAUCCAUUUAAAUAUAUCCAUUCAGAAACCUUUUUAGUGAUCUAUAUCCAUUCUAUAUAGCAUAUCCAUGAUAACAAGAGAUUCAAUUAACUGGAAUCUCGAUGCUACGUACAUGAAACGAGUUGACACAUGAGAGAGAGCAAAAAUCAAAUCAAGCCGCCAUUGUUGAAGAAGAAGAAGUUUCUUAGAAAACUGAAUCUCAAAUUUAUGUCAAAACUAAGAUUUAAAUUGCAAAAUAAAUCACAAUCUACAAUCAAUAAAAAUGAAUAAAAUAUUGAACUCUCCAAUCAAUCCAUAAUCUCACAACAAUCCGAGAAAUUCUAUAAUAUAGAAAUCUCAAAUUCUGCAAAAUUUGAAUACCCAAUCUCCUAAGUGAAAGAAAAACUUCAUACCAUCAAAAAUACCAAAAUAAAGAAACACGUGAUUGAACCCAACAAAUAAUUAUAAGGAGAUAACUUUUUUUUUGAGAACCAGACGCAACUAAAGUUGCGUACAUAAAGAGAGAUAGAGAGAGAGAGGGAGAGGGAGGGAGAGAGAGAGAGAGAGAGAGAGAGAG